AUUGAACGCUGGCGGCAGGCCUAACACAUGCAAGUCGAGCGGAGCGGCGGACGGGUGAGUAAUGCCUAGGUAUCUGCCUGGUAGUGGGGGCUAACGUACGGAAACGGGCGCUAAUACCGCAUACUACCAGAUGAGCCUAGGUCGGAUUAGCUAGUUGGUAGGGUAAAGGCCUACCAAGGCGACGAUCCCUAGCUGGUCUGAGAGGAUGACCGGCCACACUGGAACUGAGACACGGUCCAGACGCCUACGGGAGGCAGCAGUAGGGAAUCUUGCACAAUGGGCGCAAGCCUGAUGCAGCCAUGCCGCGUGCGUGAAGAAGGCCUUCGGGUUGUAAAGCACUGUCAGCGGGGAGGCGGUACCCGCAGAAGAAGCACCGGCUAACUCCGUGCCAGCAGCCGCGGUAAUAC
rnacentral:rRNA from 1 species